AUCAUGCUGAUGAGUCCCAAAUGGGACGAAACGCGCGUCCUGUAU
rnacentral:hammerhead_ribozyme from 1 species